rnacentral:tRNA from 1 species
GGUUGUGGCUUAGUGGUAGAGUGCUUGCCUACAGCAUGUGAGGCACUGGGUUCUAUCCUCAGCACCA